UACCCGCAGCACAAGUGGUGGUCAUUAUCAUUGGGCCUAAAGCGUCCGUAGCUGGCUUGUUAGAUGCCUGGGUAAAUCGAUGCGCUCAACGUAUCGAAUUCCGGGUAGACCGGCAAGCUCGAGACCGGGAGAGGUGUAGGCUACUCGAGGGGUAGGGGUAAAAUCCUGUAAUCCUUCGGGGAGGACCAGUGGCGAAGGCGCUACACUAGAACGGCUCUGACAGUGAGGGACGAAGCCCUGGGGCGCAAACCGG
rnacentral:rRNA from 1 species